rnacentral:rRNA from 1 species
GACGAACGCUGGCGGCGUGCUUAACACAUGCAAGUCGAACGAAGAGCGAUGGAAGCUUGCUUCUAUCAAUCUUAGUGGCGAACGGGUGAGUAACGCGUAAUCAACCUGCCCUUCAGAGGGGGACAACAGUUGGAAACGACUGCUAAUACCGCAUACGAUCUAACCUCGGCAUCGAGGAUAGAUGAAAGGUGGCCUCUACAUGUAAGCUAUCACUGAAGGAGGGGAUUGCGUCUGAUUAGCUAGUUGGAGGGGUAACGGCCCACCAAGGCGAUGAUCAGUAGCCGGUCUGAGAGGAUGAACGGCCACAUUGGGACUGAGACACGGCCCAGACUCCUACGGGAGGCUGCAGUGGGGAAUCUUCCGCAAUGGACGAAAGUCUGACGGAGCAACGCCGCGUGAGUGAUGACGGCCUUCGGGUUGUAAAGCUCUGUUAAUCGGGACGAAAGGCCUUCUUGCGAAUAGUUAGAAGGAUUGACGGUACCGGAAUAGAAAGCCACGGCUAACUACGUG